CAGUAGCCGCGGGAAUACGUAGGGUGCGAGCGUUAAUCGGAAUUACUGGGCGUAAAGCGUGCGCAGGCGGUUUUGUAAGACAGGCGUGAAAUCCCCGGGCUCAACCUGGGAAUGGCGCUUGUGACUGCAAAGCUAGAGUGCGGCAGAGGGGGAUGGAAUUCCGCGUGUAGCAGUGGAAUGCGUAGAUAUGCGGAGGAACACCGAUGGCGAAGGCAAUCCCCUGGGCCUGCACUGACGCUCAUGCACGAAAGCGUGGGGAGCAAACAGGAUUAGAUACCCGAGUAGUCCCUGUCUCUUAUAC
rnacentral:rRNA from 1 species